rnacentral:rRNA from 1 species
UACAGGGGGUGCAAACGUUGCUCGGAAUCAUUGGGCGUAAAGCGCACGUAGGCGGUUCGUUAUGUCAGAUGUGAAAGCCCUUGGCUUAACCGAGGAAGUGCAUCCGAAACUGGCGAGCUAGAGUACUAAAGAGGAUCGCGGAAUUCCCGGUGUAGAGGUGAAAUUCGUAGAUAUCGGGAGGAACACCGGUGGCGAAGGCGGCGAUCUGGGUAGAUACUGACGCUGAGGUGCGAAAGCGUGGGGAGCAAACAGG